rnacentral:rRNA from 1 species
CGGCGGACGGGUGAGUAACACGUGGGUAACCUGCCCAAGAGACUGGGAUAACACCUGGAAACAGAUGCUAAUACCGGAUAACAACACUAGACGCAUGUCUAGAGUUUGAAAGAUGGUUCUGCUAUCACUCUUGGAUGGACCUGCGGUGCAUUAGCUAGUUGGUAAGGUAACGGCUUACCAAGGCAAUGAUGCAUAGCCGAGUUGAGAGACUGAUCGGCCACAUUGGGACUGAGACACGGCCCAAACUCCUACGGGAGGCAGCAGUAGGGAAUCUUCCACAAUGGACGAAAGUCUGAUGGAGCAACGCCGCGUGAGUGAAGAAGGGUUUCGGCUCGUAAAGCUCUGUUGGUAGUGAAGAAAGAUAGAGGUAGUAACUGGCCUUUAUUUGACGGUAAUUACUUAGAAAGUCACGGCUAACUACGUGCCAGCAGCCGCGGUAAUACGUAGGUGGCAAGCGUUGUCCGGAUUUAUUGGGCGUAAAGCGAGUGCAGGCGGUUCAAUAAGUCUGAUGUGAAAGCCUUCGGCUCAACCGGAGAAUUGCAUCAGAAACUGUUGAACUUGAGUGCAGAAGAGGAGAGUGGAACUCCAUGUGUAGCGGUGGAAUGCGUAGAUAUAUGGAAGAACACCAGUGGCGAAGGCGGCUCUCUGGUCUGCAACUGACGCUGAGGCUCGAAAGCAUGGGUAGCGAACAGGAUUAGAUACCCUGGUAGUCCAUGCCGUAAACGAUGAGUGCUAAGUGUUGGGAGGUUUCCGCCUCUCAGUGCUGCAGCUAACGCAU